AAGGGCCGCGGUAUUUGGACCGUGCUAAGGUAGCAUAAUAAAUAGUCUUUUAAUUGAAGUCUAGUAUGAAAGGUCGGACAUGAAGUAAGCUGUCUUAACUUUAAUAACUGAAUUUUACUUUUAAGUGAAAAGGCUUAAAUUAGGCGGUGGGACGAUAAGACCCUAUAAAGCUUUACAUUUCACUUAUUGGUCUCGGGGAUUAAGGUUUUUCGUUCUAGUUGAGUGAAGUGUUCCGUUGGGGCGACGGGAAUAAAAUAGUAACUGUUUUUAACAUAAAAAUACAUAUUUGUAGGUGAGUUGAUCCUUUUUAGAGAUUAAAAGAUUUAAGUUACUUUAGGGAUAACAGCGUGAUUUCUCUUGAGAGUUCAUAUCGACAGAUGUAGUUGCGACCUCGAUGUUGAAUUAAAAUGCCCCCCAGGUGUAGCAGUUUUGGUGGUAGGUCUGUUCGACCUUUAAAAUUUU
rnacentral:rRNA from 1 species